rnacentral:lncRNA from 1 species
GGAAGGGGUUAAAGGGGAUUCCUGACCCACAAGUUGGGGGGCAGAAGGGGUUAAAGGGGAUUCCUGACCCCCAUGAUGGCAAGGAAGGGGUUAAAUGGGAUCUCCCCAAUCCCAUGGUGGCAAGAAAAGGGUUAAAUGGGAUUUUCUGACCCACAAGUUGGGGGGCAGAAGGGGUUAAAGGGGAUUCCUGACCCACAUGAUGGAAAGGAAGGGGUUAAAGGAGGAUUCCUGACCCCCAUGAUGGCAAGGAAGGGGUUAAAUGGGACCUCCCCGAUCCCCCAUCAUGGCAAGGAAGGGGUUAAAGGGGAUUUCCUGACCCAUAAGUUGGGGGGCAGGAAGGGGUUAAAGGAGGAUUCCUGACCCACACUUGGGGGGCGGAAGGGGUUAAAGGGGAUUCCUGACCCCCAUGAUGGCAAGGAAGGGGUUAAAGGAGGAUUCCUGACCCAUAAGUUGGGGGGCGGAAGGGGUUAAAGGGGAUUCCUGACCAAUAAGUUGGGGGGCGGAAGGGGUUAAAGGGGAUUCCUGACCCACACUUAGGGGGCAGAAGGGGUUAAAGGGGAUUCCUGACCCCCAUGAUGGCAAGGAAGGGGUUAAAUGGGAUCUCCCCAAUCCCAUGGUGGCAAGGAAAGGGUUAAAGUGGAUUCCUGACCCACAAGUUGGGGGGCAGAAGGGGUUAAAGGCGAUUCCUGACCCACAAGUUGGGGGGAGGAAGGGGUUAAAGGAGGAUUCCUGAGCCCCAUAAUGGCAAGGAAGGGGUUAAAGGGGAUUCCUGACCCAUAAGUUGGGGGGCAGGAAGGGGUUAAAGGGGAUUCCUGACCCCCAUGACGGCAAGGAAGGGGUUAAAGGAGGAUUCCUGACCCACAAGUUGGGGGGCAGAAGGGGUUA